AAGUCGUAACAAGGUUUCCGUAGGUGAACCUGCGGAAGGAUCAUUCAUAAAAUGGAGGUGAAAAUUUUAUUUGAUUUUCAGCGGAAUUUUUCUGCUAGAGUUUCAUUUUUCAUCCUCUUGUUGAUUGUUUUUUCAACUAAAAAGGUCGCAAAAUUGAAGGGAAAAAGAGAAAUUUUUUUGGCUGGGUUUGAAACUUUUGAAUUUUCGCAAGGAUUUUCUUUUUUUCAGUAAAACCGUUUUGAUUUUCCUGCCGAAAUUUUUUCAAUUUUUGAUUUAAGGCCCUAGGGAGUUUGACCUAUUUGAUCAAUCAAAAAGUUUUAAACAACUUUUAGCAAUGGAUCUCUAGGCUCAU
rnacentral:misc_RNA from 1 species